UACGUAGGGUGCGAGCGUUGUCCGGAAUUAUUGGGCGUAAAGGGUGCGUAGGUGGCGCGGUAAGUCGGGUGUGAAAUUUCGGAGCUUAACUCCGAAACUGCAUUCGAUACUGCCGUGCUUGAGGACUGGAGAGGAGACUGGAAUUUACGGUGUAGCAGUGAAAUGCGUAGAGAUCGUAAGGAAGACCAGUGGCGAAGGCGGGUCUCUGGACAGUUCCUGACACUGAGGCACGAAGGCCAGGGGAGCAAACGGG
rnacentral:rRNA from 1 species